UUAUAGAAAACUGUUCCAUAAUGCAUAACUAAUCAAUGUGAUAUUAUUUAUGUGUUUGCAGUGUCCACAGAGUUUAUAUACCCUUCUAAAGGGCCAUCUGUUGUGGUAACAUAAUGACUUCUGGCUUCCUCUUGAGGGACACAAAAUCCAGCUGUUGCUACAUGACGGUAGGAGUAUGAGAGGAAAUCUAUUUGCAGUAAUUCUCUUGAGACAGUGGAUACAGCAGAGUUUUGGAUCAUGGCCACAGCCCAAGAGUGAAGACUCCUCCCUGAUGCUAAGAUAAAGGCUGAUUUUGCUGUGGUUUCUAAACAGGAUUAAUAUUUUCAAGUCACUCUUGUCGUUCACACACAUAAAUCAUUCAGGAUUUUACUGGGUGCACAAAUUACUCUAUUGAAUUAUCAUCAAAAAUGUUUUCAAUCCUACGUGGACAAUUCAGGGCUAUGGUGCGAGUGAAGCUGGCCAAACAAGAUCACAGAUCAAAUAUUUACUGCAAGCCACCUAAGGAAAAGAUCGGACCUGGGCAGACGGUGUUUACCAUGUCCAUCUUUGCACUUGGUCUCCUGGUCCCUGCUGGUUGGAUCAUGUACCACAUCCCAGUAUACCGCCAAACACCACCUUCAGGAGUUUGAACUUAGGGACAACCUACAUCACUCACUCUCUGCCACAUCACAUAGCUUUUUGCUUGCUGAAAUAAAAUGUGAUUUCUCACUUG